UUUCAAAAAUUCUUCUUUUCUACAGAACGAAAAUGUAGAGGAUGAAGAGGGAAAACCCAGAGAAGAAAGAUGGUUGAGUGUCAAAACAUCUGCAAAUGCAGAGAAGGAAGUGGUAAGCGCAAGGAUCUCUCGGAACCAUUCUAACAAGGGAGAAGUGGAAAAAACAACAAUAAAAAAGGAAGAAAAUGAUGCAAAUAAAUGGAAUUUAAAACAAGAACCAGACAUAUUAGAAAAUGAAGACUAUGUAAAUUC